UGCCACCUAAAAAGAUUUAGUAAUUUACUGGUUAAUUACUUAUGUUCAGUGUAAGAGGUGGGUGAUCAAUUAGACUGUUGUUGUUACACUUAACCUUUCAAGAUACGAUGAUAAUAACAUUGUUCAACAAAGGCUUAAAACAAAAGGAAAUCAGCUGUGUACUCAAUUCAUAUGGGCAUAAAAUAAGUGAGAGGCAUCUGAGACGAGUUUUAAAACUUCUAGGGUUGAAGCGAAGAUGCCCCCAACGACCUUUUACUGAAAUCCACAAAGCAGUGGAGAGUGAGAUGAAACAGUGGUCUCCUGAACAAGGAAUCAGGGCAAUGGUAAAGCGGGUAAGGGAUGUCAGAGGAGUGCGGCCUUGUUACAGAGACGAUGUUGCUAAUAUAAUGAGGGAUAUGGAUGCAA